UACGAAGGGGGCUAGCGUUGCUCGGAAUCACUGGGCGUAAAGCGCACGUAGGCGGACUCUUAAGUCAGGGGUGAAAUCCUGGAGCUCAACUCCAGAACUGCCUUUGAUACUGGGAGCCUUGAGUUCGGGAGAGGUGAGUGGAACUGCGAGUGUAGAGGUGAAAUUCGUAGAUAUUCGCAAGAACACCAGUAGCGAAGGCGGCUCACUGGCCCGAUACUGACGCUGAGGUGCGAAAGCGUGGGGAGCAAACAGG
rnacentral:rRNA from 1 species